UAAUCAGAUGACUCUAUCCAAGACAUUUCUGG
rnacentral:piRNA from 1 species